UAUUCCAAUUCUGGCUAUGACACGGCAGUCAAAUAUGUAAAUUUGCCUAACAUUCUGAAACCGGUGGGAUAUUUUUGGGGAAUACUGUGUGGUGUCGAGUGUGGAAAAAUGGGAAAUUGAUGGACAAAUUGAUUAUGUCGUGCUUUGGCAGUUUCUGCAACCAAUAAUGCAUGUUAGGCAAACAAUUGCAGAUAUUAGCCCCAUUAACUGCUCGCCUGGAAGGUUGUCUCAAAAUGGAAAAUAGAAAUCAAUUAGGUCUUUGCGUCAGACGAACUCAUAAAGGCAUUGGCAAAACAUCGGCCCAAGUGCAAAUUGUGUCAACCGAAGUCUAGGAAAAUUGCCUUGGAACCUUCAAGGGUGCGGCAUUAUCGCAAAAGGGCAGAGGAACUCGUUCGUUUUCCCUGGCCUUUUGUGUGCAUCGAAGUAAAAGUAAAGCAUAACACACAGGCGGGCGCACCAGCCACAAAAUACGACCUCCACAUCCAGCUCCACAACCAGCGCCAGCUCCAUGCACAUGGCAACUGGCAGCACUGGAUGCCCCCAGAUCCGAAUCCCAGUUCUCCUCGACUCCGCCCGUUCGGAAUCCCUGCAUAAAUGUGGCUAAAAUGUAAUGCAAACAAUUGAAAACUGUCAAUGCGGGUGGCCAAAGAAAAGAAGUUUCAGCUGCCUAAGUGGCUCCAGCAAAAUUUAACUUAAAGAAUUAUAUACAAAUCAACUUAAA